rnacentral:rRNA from 1 species
GAUGAACGCUGACAGAAUGCUUAACACAUGCAAGUCUUUGGCGAAUCUGUGCUUGCACAGGCUAGCCAAGGCGGACGGGUGAGUAACGCGUAAAGAACUUGCCCUGCAGACAGGGAUAACAGACGGAAACGACUGAUAACACCUGAUACAGUUGCCGGCACGCAUGUGCCUGGCAAUGAAAAGAGAUGCUGCAGGAGAGCUUUGCGUCCUAUUAGCUUGUUGGUGAGGUGACGGCUCACCAAGGCGAUGAUAGGUAGCCGGCCUGAGAGGGUGAACGGCCACAAGGGGACUGAGAUACGGCCCUUACUCCUACGGGAGGCAGCAGUGGGGAAUAUUGGACAAUGGGGGCAACCCUGAUCCAGCAAUUCUGUGUGCACGAAGACGGUUUUCGGAUUGUAAAGUGCUUUCAGCAGGGAAGAAGAAAGUGACGGUACCUGCAGAAGAAGCGACGGCUAAAUACGUG